ensembl:rRNA 5S_rRNA 5S ribosomal RNA
GCUUAUGGCCAUACCACCCUGAACACGCCCGCUCUCGUUUGAUCUCGGAAGCAUAGAAGGGGCAGGGCCUGGUCAGUACCUGGAUGGAAGACCGCCUGGGAAUACCAGGCGCUGUAAGCU